rnacentral:lncRNA from 1 species
AAAUAUGAUUGUUAGUAUAAACAUCUACUUAAUGAAAUUAGAAUUUGGGACUCUCUUCUCCCAUUCUUCUAAAUUCUGUUUUUCCGAAAGCUUUCCUCAAAGUGAAAAGUUCUUUCCCCUAAUCUUCCUUUCUCGUUCAGAACCCUCAACCCUAACCAUUGUUUACACUCUUUCGUAGUUGUCCAUUGUCUUUCUGCCAUUCUCCGCUUUUGGGAGUACACAUUUACCUUCAAUUGUUGUGUAGGUAGGUUUCUGUUGUGGAAGGAAAGUGUCGGUGAGGAGGGUGAUGGUAGACGUGAGGGAUUACAUUAUUGCGAGGGUGUUAUUUGAAGGGGUUUCUUGACGAGGUUGUUGUCACAUUGUGACGAGGGUGUUGUGGUGGCGUGACCAAGGUGUCAGAGUGGCUGUAGCGGAAUUGUUAGCGUGGAAUAACAAACCAAGAGGGUUUUUAAUACAAACGUGUGCCUUUUAAUUUCUACUCAAUUUUACUUACUACGCAAAUAAUAAAUAUAAAUAAAAGAGUAAGGUUGAGAGAAAUUUCCACAAAUAAUUUUUAUACUGGUUCGGAUCUUACCAAUCCUACGUCCAGUCGCUUAUCUCAAAUCAAGAUAAAACAGUUCAGUAAGCACAAAACAAUUACAAACUACAUUCACAAAGAAACAAUUUGUAAAAGUUUAGAAACCACCUUUCUUGAUACCACAAGAGAUGAAACUACACCUCCUUUGAAUCUUCACAAAGGAUGAACCACUUCCUCUGAAUACUUCACGAAGGAUGAAACACCUCCUCCGAAUACUUCACGAAGGAUGAUCCUCUUCCACACACCUCCUUAGACGCACCAAGGAUGAACCAGCUAUUCCUCCGUCACCGUAGUAGCAAUGUACCAACACCACAGACAAGAGUUUCCUUAGCUGAGCAAGAGCACACACUUCUC